GGAGGGUGCAAGCGUUAAUCGGAAUUACUGGGCGUAAAGCGCGCGUAGGCGGCUUUGUAAGUCGGAUGUGAAAGCCCUGGGCUCAACCUGGGAAUUGCAUUCGAUACUGCAGAACUAGAGUAUGGUAGAGGGAAGUGGAAUUCCGGGUGUAGCGGUGAAAUGCGUAGAUAUCCGGAGGAACACCAGUGGCGAAGGCGACUUCCUGGGCCAAUACUGACGCUGAGGUGCGAAAGCGUGGGGAGCAAACAGGGAUUAGAUACCCUGGUAGUCCACGCCGUAAACGAUGAGAACUAGAUGUCGGGGGGAAAUUGUCCUUCGGUGUCGCAGCUAACGCGUUAAGUUCUCCGCCUGGGGAGUACGCCGGCAACGGUA
rnacentral:rRNA from 1 species